AGAGUUUGAUCCUGGCUCAGGACGAACGCUGGCGGCGUGCCUAACACAUGCAAGUCGAGCGAGUGGAGUUCUUCGGAACAAAGCUAGCGGCGGACGGGUGAGUAACACGUGGGCAACCUGCCUCAUAGAGGGGAAUAGCCUUCCGAAAGGGAGAUUAAUACCGCAUAAGAUUGUAGCUUCGCAUGAAGUAGCAAUUAAAGGAGCAAUCCGCUAUGAGAUGGGCCCGCGGCGCAUUAGCUAGUUGGUGAGGUAACGGCUCACCAAGGCGACGAUGCGUAGCCGACCUGAGAGGGUGAUCGGCCACAUUGGGACUGAGACACGGCCCAGACUCCUACGGGAGGCAGCAGUGGGGAAUAUUGCACAAUGGGGGAAACCCUGAUGCAGCAACGCCGCGUGAGUGAUGACGGCCUUCGGGUUGUAAAGCUCUGUCUUCAGGGACGAUAAUGACGGUACCUGAGGAGGAAGCCACGGCUAACUACGUG
rnacentral:rRNA from 1 species